CCCAUCUAUGCUGUUGUGCUGAAUCUCAGGAUCCUGUCCAUUGGUCCCAGUGGGGUUUUUUGUGUGUGUAAUCACAAACACCUGGAGCCUCCAUUAGCAUCUGCUAUCUGUCAAUAACCUAAUCGGUAAUUUAUGUUAGUGAUGCAAGCACUGGGGCUACAACCCCUUACCUGCGGAAAUCUGAAAGGGAGUGUCUAGAGACGCAAACUAAACUCUUUGACUUAAAGAAGGAAAGCUUUGUUCCGGAUCCAGUGGAGGAGUUUGUUAAAGCCACCAUCACAAGUCAAGAGGGUGACAAAGCCACUGCGGAGACACAAGGAGGGAAGACCUACUCCGGGCUUUUCUGUCACUGUCAACCCUUACAAGUGGCUGCCAGUGUACAAUCAGGAGGUGGUUAUAGCCUAUAGAGGGAAGAAGAGGAGUGAAGCUCCUCCGCACAUCUAUUCCCUCUCUGAUAACGCCUACCAGUACAUGCUGACAGACCAACAUGGAGAAAAUUAAUAGAACUCUGGAAGAUCAAAUUAAUGAAUUCCGAAACAAGUGUGAGGAAAAUCAAAGGUCCCUCAAUGACUUUACAACCCAGAAGGCAAAACUUCAGGCAGAAAAUGGCGAAGAAUGCUCUUGCCCAUGCACUGCAAUCAGCCCGUCAUGACACAGAACACAGAACUGUUCUCUGGAUCACCUGGAGACCAUGAAGAGAGAGAACAAGAUUCUGCAAGAGGAGAUCUCUGACCUGACUGAACAGCUUGGUGAGAGUGGGAAGACAAUCCAUGAGUUGGAGAACGUUUAUAAGCAGCUAGAACAAGAAAAGGCUGAGAUACAAGCUGCUCUGGAAGAGGCUGAGGGCUCUCUGGAGCAUGAGGAGGGUAAAAUCAUUAGUGCCCAGCUAGAAUUUAACCAAAUAAAGACACACUAAGUGCAAGCUGACUGAGAAAGAUGAAGAAAUGGAGCAAACUAAGAGAAACCUACAGAGGACCAUAGACACCUUGCAAAGUGCUUUGGAGUCUGAAACACGUAGCAGGAAUGAAGCUCUCAGGAUAAAGAAGAAGAUGGAAGGAGAUCUAAAUGAAAUGGAGAUCCAGCUGAGCUAGGCUAACAGACAGGCAAGUCUGUUCAGGCCCAUCUAAAGGUAAAACAUAUGGUACUAUUUCUUUCCUUAAUGAAAGAUUUUGUAGGACUCUCAGCUUCAGCUGGAUGACUCUCUUCGGGCCAUUGAUGAUCUGAAGGAGUACAUUGCCAUUGUAGAGAGACGUAAUACCUUGCCUCAGGCUGAACUGGAAGAGCUUAGGGCUGUUCUGGAACAAACAGAGCGUGAACGCAAACUUUCUGAGCAAGAGCUGCUGGAUGUCACUGAGAACCUACAGCUUUUGCAUUCUCAGAACACCAGUCUCAUAAACCAGAAGAAGCUGGAGACUGACAUAUUCCAGCUACAGAGUGAGGUGGAAGAGGCAGUGCAAGAAUGCAGGAAUGCAGAGGAAAAGGCUAAGAAAGCCAUAACUGAUGCUGCCAUGAUGGCUGAGGAGUUGAAGAAGGAGCAGGACACAACUGCUCACCCUGAAGCGUAUGAAGAAGAACAUGGAGCAGACCAUUAAAGACCUGCAGCACCGCCUGGAUGAAGCAGAACAAAUUGCUAUGAAAGGAGGAAAGAAACAAGUCCAGAAACUGGAGGCUAGAGUGAGCUCACAGUCCACUUCUUGUUCAUUUAAGACAGCAUAAAUAAAACAAUGUCUAAUGCACUCCUUGCAAAAGAUUCAAAAUGAAACUACAACCAAAUUACAAUUGCCAUUUCUGUAAUACUGCGUUAGCGGGUACUUUUCUUCAUAUGUUUGGGGAGUGUCCUAUUUUGUUAAUAAUCUAUGGACACAUGUAAACUUUGUUUUAUCCUUGUUACUACAAAUGCAUUAUAUGGUUAAGCCAA